GUUGUGUCCAUUCAACUGCAAGGUUACCUGGUGUUUUGUGCCGCUGGACCACGGUAGCGGGAGUACGCGUGGAGCUGCUCUGCUGUAUCAAAAGUCGUGCCAUCUAAUCGAGUGGAUGAAUGAUCAGCACUACCUUGAGCGGCUUACGAUCUGGCCACCCUUAUCGGCGAAGUGGCUCAUUCUCACCUCCAUAGACAAAUAAUCCAAACUAUUAAAAAAAAGUAAAAAUUAAGAAAAUUUUGCGUUAUUUUCUCUCCUUCUCUUUUAUUCUUCUGUAAUUUGUCCUACUUAACACUUACAAGUUUGUCUUUUUUUUUAGGUACAAUAUAAGUUUGCACUUGUAUGGUGCAUUUUUCCUUCUUUUUUCUUAUCAAUCGCGCACUACUAUUGUGGUGGGUUUGCAG
rnacentral:lncRNA from 1 species